CCCUUAGAUGUUCUGGGCCGCACGCGCGCUACACUGACGAAUGCAACGAGCUUAUAACCUUGACCGAAAGGUCUGGGUAAUCUCCAAAUUUCGUCGUGAUGGGGAUAGAUUAUUGCAAUUAUUAAUCUUCAACGAGGAAUGCCUAGUAAGCGCAAGUCAUCAGCUUGCGUUGAUUACGUCCCUGCCCUUUGUACACACCGCCCGUCGCUCCUACCGAUUGAAUGGUCCGGUGAAGCGUUCGGACCGUGGCCUUUGGACGGUUCGCCGUCUGUUGGCUGCGGGAAGUUCGUUAAACCUUAUCAUUUAGAGGAAGGAGAANUCGUANCA
rnacentral:rRNA from 1 species